GUGCGUGUGUUUAGGUUAGAAAUAUGCAGGAACGCGAACGUCCCAAAAUAGCCCCGAAACCGAUUAUAGCCACAAAACCGAAGUUCGUGCCCCCGGUUAAGUUGCAACAGAAGGUGCCCCAGGGGCCUCCGCCUCCCCCCGAACCGCAACGAAGAACCUCCUGCGGGGGAGAGAUUCCCAAGAGGGUCCAGUCUAAGUUCGAUCCCGGAGGAGGUGCCAAAGUGUUUUUCGCUCAAAGCGAUAAGGAACCCUUGUAUCAUCAGCAUAAGAAGACGUUGGAGGUGAACCAGAAACCCCCGAACUCCCCCAGCACGGUGUGCUGUAGCAUUUUAUCGAAUGCGGCCCACGAUUGCUACGGCAUAAUAAACAGUAACGGGAAAAAACUGACUAAACUGGACUCGGUGGACUCCGCUUCGUCGGACUCCGGGGGUUUCAAGGACUUCCACUAUCACCACCAACGGAAGAUUUCCCAACCGGAUUUUCUGACCGAAACGAAACCGUCGGGGCACCAAAGGAAAACCUCGCAACCGAACUUCGAUAACAACAAACCGAAAUACGUACCGAACGCCCAGGCACUGGCCCAAUUCCUCCCUCAGACCGAGCAAAAGAUCUUUAUGCACCAACAGCAAAAAGUCAUACAACAACAAGUGGAGGAGGGCCGGAAACCCAAACCGAUCUUGUCCCACGGGAAUAUUCAGGAGAGCACCAAGAAGUUGGAGGAGCUGUUGGCGCAGCGAUUGGAAAAGGAGAGAAUGCUGAUGAUGACGGAGAAGAAGAAGAUGGUGGAAUCGGCAGGGGGGGAGGAAGGGGGUGGUGGUGGCGGUACUGCCGAGCAGAAGGUGCGUCAGAUGCACCAGAAGCUGCACCAGGACCUGGAGCAGACGGUGAAGCAGAUCCAGGAGAUGCAGAGUACCGAGUACCGGUUGCCGCAGAACCGGAAAUGGGAGAGUAACCGGAGUCAGCCGGCCAUCGGACUGAAACACACCCCCAAGUCUCGGCCUACGAUAUUUGGUACGGUGGCCCCCUCGGAUUUGACCCCCAAAGAUUGCUCCAACCGCAGGAGUCUACCGCAGACCCCCACGAUCAAGAGCUACUCGACGAUAUUUUCCUCUGGAGAGACGCACCAGGAAAGCCCUGGCGACUCUGGAAUCCAGCAGGAUAACGCUCUAGUGUAUAGGGACGGGAACCUAUUGAGCGGCCCCCUGGAGGCCCUGAUCCUCCACACGGUCCCCACCGAGUCCUACUACCCGGACCGCGCCUACUUGUUCGCCUUCCUCUUGUCCGCGCGUCUCUUCAUCAAACCCCACGACCUCCUGAGCAAAGUGAGACACCUGGGGGAGCAGCAGCAGGGCCUCGCGCCCCAGCAGACGCGUUUCGCCGAAAAAAUGGUGCAACUCUUGGCUGAAUGGACCGAGCAGUUUCCCUAUGACUUUAGGGACGAGCGUAUGAUGGACCACGUGAGAAAAGUGACGCAGCAGUGUUGCGCGAUCGAUCCCGCCCUCAGGUCCAACGUCUCCUUGUUACUCCACAAUUUGCACCCGAAACUCGCCUCAUUGGAGGAGUACGAGCAACUGUUGGAAAAACAGACGAACUCCACCAUCACCGCCACCUCGUCAGACGAGAACAUCUCGUGUCCGGACGUGUCGGAGGUUUGUCCCAGUCCGGAGAAGUUGGCCCAGCAAUUAACUCACUUGGAGUUGGAAAGGUUGUCGUUUAUCGGGCCCGAGGAGUUCGUGCAGGCGUUCGCCAAAGAGAAUCCGGCCCUGGAAACGUCGUUUAAGGAUCUGAAAAAGACGCGGAAUCUGGAGCAGUACGUGCAGUGGUUCAAUCGGCUCAGCUACUUCGUUGCCACGCAGGUGUGCAAGUACCAAAAGAAGAAACAGCGCGUGAAAAUGGUCGAGUACUGGAUAGAGACCGGGCGCGAGUGUUUCAACAUCGGCAACUUCAACAGCCUGAUGGCGAUCAUCGCGGGCCUGAACAUGUCCCCCAUAUCGCGCCUCAAAAAAACCUGGAACAAAAUCCAAUCGGGGAAAUUCGCCAUUUUGGAGCAUCAGAUGGACCCGAGCAGCAACUUCAGCAGUUACCGGAGCACGUUAAAAGCCGCGAUGUGGCGUAGUGCGGGUGCGACCGAUCAACGGCAACGCAUCGUCAUCCCCUUCUUCAGUUUACUGGUCAAGGAUUUGUACUUUUUGAACCAGGGCUGUUCCAACAAACUGCCCAACGGGCACAUCAACUUCGAGAAGUUCUGGCAGUUGGCGAAACAGGUGACGGAGUUCAUGGCGUGGAAACAGGUGACGUGUCCGUUCGAGCGGGAUCCCAAAGUGAUCGCGUUGCUGCAGCACGCCGCGAUCAUGAACGAGAACGCGUUGGCGCUGGCCAGUUUCGAAUGCGAACCGCCCGAUAAUAAUCAGGAGAAGGAGCGCUGCAAGAAUUUGAAAGCUGAAGGUGGUGGUGGUGGUAGUGGUGGUUCGAAUACUAAUUGAAAAAAACAGAACAAAAAAUCAAGGCUGCCUGUAGUAGAUAUGUCCCAAGUAACACACGAUAGGCAUUCCCGCACCAUAUCCCGAACAAUUAAGCACCGACUAACCUAAAAACACAAAACAAUCCCGCUUACCGUCUAACCUCUCUCGCUCUCUCUCUCUGAGACAAGUGACUUCCGGUCGCCACCAUCCGGCGACAAACGUCACUUUCACG
rnacentral:misc_RNA from 1 species